AUUGAACGCUGGAGGCAGGCCGAACACAUGCAAGUCGAACGAGUGGCGGACGGGUGAGUAAUGUCUGGGCAACUGCCUGAUGGAGGGGGAUAACUACUGGAAACGGUCGCUACUACCGCAUACCAUCAGAUGUGCCCAGCUGGGAUUCGCUUGUGGGUGGGGUAACGGCUCACCAAGGCGACGAGCCCUAGCUGGUGUGAGAGGAUGACCAGCCACCCUGGAACUGAGACACGGGCCAGACUCCUACGGGAGGCAGCAGUGGGGAAUAUUGCACAAUGGGCGCAAGUCUGAUGCAGCCAUGCCGCGUGUAUGAAGAAGGCCUUCGGGUUGCAAAGUACUUUCAGCGGGGAGGCGUUACCCGCAGAAGAAGCACCGGCUAACUCCGUGCCAGCAGCCGCGGUAAUAC
rnacentral:rRNA from 1 species